AGAUCAUGAAUGGUGGUGGAGGUAUGAGUUUUCCUGUUCUAUUUUUAUGCAUAUAUUGUUGUGUUUGUGCAUCACAAUUGAAUACGGUAAAACUUUCAGCAAUAUUAUUAUUUUGUCUAGUAGUGUUUGUGUGUGUGGCCUACUGCUUUUUAUUAAAUAAAGUUACACGUCCUUUCAUGCAUGGUGUUUGUUAUUAAUGUCAUGAGCUUCUUGUCGAGUCAUGGUUGACUAUUAACUAAUGGAUCUUUUUAUUGUGCAUCAAAAUUUACUGAAGUAGGAGAGAGAUUCAUGUAACAACUAGGUAAAUAUUAUUGAGACAACAAUGGUUGUCAAACUAGUUCUGUAGACUUAAUAUUCAGUGCUAAGAGAACUUUGAGAUUGCUUCUGAUAUGGAAUUUGAAAUUUAAGAAUUUGAACCAGGUUUUUUUUAUUUUAUUUUAUUUUA
rnacentral:misc_RNA from 1 species